AAAAGGAUUGCUUGCUCAAUUGCUAGUUAAAGUUGAAUCCAAAUGAUCCAUAAAUUUACAACAGUAGGAAAUACUUAAACUAAUAACUGUUGUUCUAAGCUUCUUCAUACUUCAUUUCUCAUGAAAGAAGAAAAUUGAUGUUGCAGCAGCAACCUACCUCCCCCCCUCUCCAACAAGCACAGAUGAACUCUAGUACUUACUAGUAAAAAGAUGAAACCUUUGUGUCCGUGGCGUCGCCAAAUCACACAGAUGGGAAAUACUUGUUCAGAUUGAAAGGGAGGGAGUAGAAUUCCUCACUUCUCGUGUCAGUCUUGAAGGACUUGAAUUUGUCCCACCAGUGCUUGCCUCUGUCCUUUCUUGUCUGGCCAUCCUUUUUGUGCAUUGUGUUGUCCAGGAAAAAGGCAACGAUACCCGCCACAAAAGCUUUUGAUUGAAAGGGAACGUUGGCCAUGUCGUUGAACCAUCUUGCAUGUGUGUGAACAGGUCCAUAACCAGCAACAGCAGUAUACUCAUUGAAGUACUGUGGAAUGGACAAGCCAAGAAAGACGGAGAAACCUAAUAUAAACUUGGUGCGGAAACUAUUAAGAUUGCAGAACUGAAGAAAACCUAAGCCUCCAGCGCCUACAUAAGCGAAGAAAAGGCAAUAUAAAGCACCAACAAUAGGUGCAGGAAUUGAAGCAAAGACAGCUCCAAAUUUCCCGAGAAUUGAAAAGAAAAUCAUGAACGCAGCAGAUAUCUGAACAACUCUUCUACUGCCAACACGUGUCAAUGCUAAUAGACCAGCAUUCUCCACGGAUACAG
rnacentral:misc_RNA from 1 species